GUGCUGAUGAAGAAGACAUGAAGAUGAUACAGAACAGCAGAGAGGAGAAAGUGAGCGGGAAAGUAAUAGGAAACAUUGCCAGGAGGCACAUGUGUGCUAAUCAAGGUGGUCUGCCAUAACAGGAGAGAGCUAGCCAUUAACAUUCCCAUUUGCAUUACACAUGGCUACAUCUUGGAGAUAAGAUCUUACAACAGCAUCUAGCAACAGGUGCUAACUGGACCAUGCUAAGCAGCCAAAUCUUGGUGUUUACCUCUGCACAACGGCUCUAACAUGCAGAAGAGGACUGCACUGAGGUAAAUGUGCAAUUUGGCAUUUUCUCAGCCCGCCAGUAUCUGCGACUAAGUGGCUCAUUCCCUGUUGACUAAGACAAGUGAAGGUCAGAGUUUCCAGAUGGGCUUUUCUCAAAAAGAAUCAGUUGCAAGUUCAUCUGAUACCUUUUCCAUCAAACCUACAGGAGACAUUUGGCUCUUUGCAAACUGAUACAAGAGAACAUUUCUAGCUGUACUUUCUGAGCAGUAGUUACUAUGACAAUGGCGAUAGUUUCUAUGACAAUCAAGCGGACUUGAGUGUUAAGGCAAUGACUGUUUUGUUAU